rnacentral:tRNA from 1 species
ACCUGGGUGGCUCAGUUGGUUAAGUGUCUGACUUCCACUCAGGUCAUGAUCUCACAGUUCGUGAGUUCAAGCCCCACAUCAGGCU